CCUACGGGUGACAGCAGUGGGGAAUAUUGCACAAUGGGGGAAACCCUGAUGCAGCAACGCCGCGUGAGUGACGAAGUAUUUCGGUAUGUAAAGCUCUAUCAGCAGGGAAGAAGAUGACGGUACCUGAGUAAGAAGCCCCGGCUAACUACGUGCCAGCAGCCGCGGUAAGACGUAGGGGGCAGGCGUUAUCCGGUUUUACUGGGUGUAAAGGGAUCGUAGACGGUGAGGCAAGUCUGAAGUGAAAGCCCGGGGCUCAACCCCGGGACUGCUUUGGAAACUGCCUGACUGGAGUGAUGAAGAGGCAAGCGGAAGUCGUAGUGUAGCGGUGAAAUGCGUAGAUAGUAGGAAGAACACCAGUGGCGAAGGCGGCUUGCUGGACAGUAACUGACGUUGAGGCUCGAAAGCGUGGGGAGCAAACAGGAUUAGAUACCCUGGUAGUC
rnacentral:rRNA from 1 species